AAGAAAUUAGUUAAAAAUAUAACAUUAGUAUGUCAUACUGAAAUUAUUGAUUAUUUAUUAAUAUUUCUUU
rnacentral:tRNA from 1 species